UACGAAGGGGGCUAGCGUUGCUCGGAAUUACUGGGCGUAAAGCGUGCGCAGGCGGCUUUGCAAGACAGAUGUGAAAUCCCCGGGCUUAACCUGGGAACUGCAUUUGUGACUGCAAGGCUAGAGUACGGCAGAGGGGGAUGGAAUUCCGCGUGUAGCAGUGAAAUGCGUAGAUAUGCGGAGGAACACCGAUGGCGAAGGCAAUCCCCUGGGCCUGCACUGACGCUCAUGCACGAAAGCGUGGGGAGCAAACAGG
rnacentral:rRNA from 1 species